UUGUGAUAGAGAUCGCAAUAUAUCUCAUUACCAGUCAGAAUAGAACCUAUGGGGUCACACACACUAGAAGUAUUGACCGAUCCGAUGGUUGAAAAGUGAUUAUGAAUCACGAGUAAUCAAUUCGAUUGAUAAUAAGUUGAAGAAGGAACAAUGGGAAUUGAUUAAUUGGACUUAAAACACAAAUCCUACUUAGAGUAGGAUU
rnacentral:lncRNA from 1 species